GCGGAGGUUGCCAAGCCUGGCCAAAGGCGCUAGGUUGAGGGCCUAGUCUCGUAGGAGUUCGCGAGUUCAAAUCUCGCCCUCCGCACCA
rnacentral:tRNA from 1 species